rnacentral:lncRNA from 1 species
UUUGGCAAACGUGCCUCCUUUUUCUACGGAAUGAUCCAGCUUGGAGUUUUGUACAGGCUUCUCUUUCUGCUCCUCUUUGUUCGGUCUUUAUCCGCUUGACAGCUUUGAGUUUCUCUUAUUGUUGUGAGUCAUGGCUACAGAGAGAUUAUAAUCAAUCGAAUUUUGUUUUGUGGGUUGUUAGCUGAAUAAGUUCUCAUCUUUUAUAUAGGAAUAAGUUCUCUUUGUUCAUAUAGGAGCUAAGAGAAAUUUUAAAUACACACCCCUAAUCUCUUAAUACACACCUCUAUUAUUUUAUAUUUCUAUUGAGAUGUAAUAUUGUUUGCUAAAAGAUUGUCUCGGCCUAAAAGAGAGGCCGAGGGUCUUGAGAACAAUUGUCCUUCAAAAUUACGCGGGCGUGCCAACUCGUGGCCUAUUGGCCAAGCAAGGUUUUGAUGAAUAUUUCGUGCUUGAUCUUACUUCUUCCAAGCGAUUGUAGGCCGAGGAAUGAACCGUCUCGGUCUUUGGGUUCUCUUGCCUUUGUUGUAAGGACUUUUGGCGUUUUCACCGAUGUUGCUCCUCUUUUUGUGAUUUUUUGUAUGGGUUUGCGAGAAAUAAAGUGCGAAAAUUAAUAGAACGAAAAUCUAAUUUGCAUGAAAUUUAAAGAGAAUGAAAUGGCUAGAAAGUUAGAGUGCAGAAAUUAAAGAGCGGAAAGUAAUUGCGAGGAAUUAAAUUGCAUGAAUUUAAAGAGGCGGAAGANNNNNNNNNNNNNNNNNNNNGGACUGAAUUCUGUCCGGUUCAUCAUCUCCAUUUGUUUUUCGAUUUUGAGGGCCUUAAUGAUCACCAAAUUGGCUGAAAUUUUGCAGAGAUGAUCUACACAAGAUGAUCUAGAUAUGUCUAGAAGGAAGUUUGAGGAAAUUCGAUCGGGAAGUGGUGCAAAAUUGGAAAUCCGCAUCGAAAACUUUGGUGCAGACGUCCGCAGCCAAGAAGGCCUGUAUAUAUAUAUAUUUUUUUUUCAGUAACUGUUUGCUCAAAAAUUGUCUCGGCCUAAAACAGAGGCUGAGGGUCUUGAGAACAAUUGUUCUUCAAAAUUGCGCGGGCGUGCCAACUCGCGGCCUGUUGACCAAGCGAGGUUUUGAUGAAUAUUUCGUGCCUGAUCUGACUUCUUCCAAGCGAUUGUAAGCCGAGGAAGGAACCGUCUCGGCCUUUGGGUUCUCUUGCCUUUGUUGCAAGGACUUUCAGCGUUUUCACCGAUGUUGCUCAUUUUUUUUGUGAUUUUUUGUAUGGGUUUGCGAGAAAUAAAGUGCGAAAAUUAAUAGAAUGAAAAUCUAAUUUGCAUGAAAUUUAAAGAGAAUAAAAAUGGCAAGAAAGUUAGAGUGCAGAAAUUAAAGAGCGGAAAGUAAUUGCAUGAAUUUAAAGAGGCGGAAGAGAAAUGACAUGAAAGUAAAACGCGGAAUGUAAAGAAAACGAUAAAGAAGAAGAGAACUAUGCUAGAACAUGGAUAAAAAGAUUGAUAUUGUAGAAAUUCGUAGAGAAUUUGAUAGAGUUUGUAUUUGAGUUGUGUGUGUUGGUCGGGGACCUUUUACAAUGAGGUAUAUGUUUCCUAUAUAUACUAUUACAAACACAAAAUUAAGGAAGGAGAAAACAAUUAAAUAAAAUAAAUAUUUCGGUCUUAAUGACCGAAUCAAAGAUACGUUUCUUAUUGUUUUCUCCUUGAUCACACGUUUAUUUCUUUCUUCAUGCGGCUUUGUUGGAAUUGAUUUGCUAAUUAUCUUGAAAUUUCGGUCUUCAAUUCUUCCAAUUAGCCAUAAUGCUAAUUUGUUGUCAUAUAUUGCCGUUGUUUCAAUAUUUGGUAUGUGGUUUUAAUACCAAAUAAUGAAUCUCAACAAAUCUUAAUAAUGAUGAUGAUGAUAAUUAUACGAAAUAAUAGUAAUAAUUAUCAUUAAAUGUUGUAAUCUUCCUCGCAACCAACAGCUUCGGCCUAGUAGGCCGACGUGUACAAAAUAGGUACAAACAAAUAUGUAAGUUAAAUGACCAAAACAUACAUCUAUUAUUAAAAAAAAAAAAUCGCGCUAGAAGUAUUCUUUCCAACGUCUUUUACCCUAAAAUUGUCGAAAACACAUAUUCUCCCCUAACCCCGAUUCUUCUCCACAAUUCAUUUGGGUUGUGUUUUUUUUUUUUGUAUCCGUAUCAGCUUUAGUUUGGUCUAACAGAUUAUAAUGUCAAGUACUGCAUCUUUAUCAGCUUUAGUUUGAUCUUGGAGAUUAUAUUGUCAAGUACUGCAUCUUUAUCAUGACAUGUUUUAUCGAAUAACUAGCUAUCUAUGUUUAAUAGCUACUGUACUUCUACAGUUGUACUAGCUAGCUUGUGAAUUUUGAAAACUUGUAUCGGUGAUUCGGAGUCGGAAUAUAACAAUAAUCAUUUGAUUAUAAAUUGAACGAUGAUAACAAAAAAUUUCUAGCAAAAAUUAGACGAAAUAAUAUGUAAAAAGAGGUAUCAAAUAGUAAAUAUAUAUUAAUUAUAUUAAAUAACGGAAUAUUUCAUAAAUUAAGGACAUUUUAGGCAUUUUGGAAUGUGUAUUAAGUAUAAUACUAAAAUGAAAAACUUGAUAGGUGGUGUAUUAAGUAAGGGGUGUGUAUUAAUAUAUUAGGGGUGUGUAUUUAAAAUUUCUCAGGAGCUAAAUGUGUUAUGAUUACAAACAUAUUCAAGACCAGUCAAACACAAGACCUAGUGUAGAUAUUCACCAGAUUCUGAUACUGAUCUCCUUACUCAAAUCAAGAAAGCUUAGAUAUUCGCCUUAUUAUGAUGUUUUAAUACUUGCCCGAUUCUGAUAUCUCAAUUACGCUUUAGUCUUUAGUAAAGUUCUAAUGUGUGUUGAUGUAUGUCAUACAUCAAUAAACCCUACCCUUACCAUAGUCUCAAAGAUUGUAACAUGCUAGUGGCGGUCAAGCAUAAUCGAGUUAACGAUGAAUAAAAUCAAUUUAAAUUGAAAAACAAACUUUACAGUCUAGGAAAAAAAGGGUUUAUAUGUCAAUAUUCAAAAAAUAUUUUAUUUAAAGGACUACAUGUCAAAGACAAUCUUAUAAUAGCUAGAUAUUUUGAAUAUAAAAAAAUAAUUGUUAAUUUCAUUUCCUUUUACUCAUCUAACAACUGUACACAACACUACUAGCUCACAAUUACAUGUAACAUUCAUCAUUAAUCUUUGAAACUUCAUAUAUCUUACGUCAUGAAUCACUUAUCAGUGACUUUGAGUUGAUAACUUGAUAUCGUUAAAACAAAAUGUGGAUUUAUCAUAUAUGGCCAUCACAAAGAUAAUAGUUGUGAGAGAUGUUGAAUUAGCUUAUAUCUUAAGAAACGUUCUAAAAACCAUGCAAUCAAAAUCCUUGUCACUUUGGAAUAAGUAUGUAGAUUGAAGGCAUUGACAAUGUAUAAUCACUAGCUCAGCUUGAUCUUUUUC